AAUGAACGUUGGCGGCAGGCUUAACACAUGCAAGUCGAGCGCCCCGCAAGGGGAGCGGCAGACGGGUGAGUAACACGUGGGGAUCUGCCCAAUGGUACGGAAUAGCUCCGGGAAACUGGAAAUAAUACCGUAUGUGCCCGCAAGGGGAAAGAUUUAUCGCCAUUGGAUGAACCCGCGUCGGAUUAGCUAGUCGGUGAGGUAAAGGCUCACCAAGGCGACGAUCCGUAGCUGGUCUGAGAGGAUGAUCAGCCACACUGGGACUGAGACACGGCCCAGACUCCUACGGGAGGCAGCAGUGGGGAAUAUUGGACAAUGGGCGCAAGCCUGAUCCAGCCAUGCCGCGUGAGUGAUGAAGGCCUUAGGGUUGUAAAGCUCUUUCGCCGACGAAGAUAAUGACGGUAGUCGGAGAAGAAGCCCCGGCUAACUUCGUGCCAGCCGCCGCGGUAAUAC
rnacentral:rRNA from 1 species